AUUGAACGCUGGCGGCAGGCCUAACACAUGCAAGUCGAGUGAGCGGCGGACGGGUGAGUAAUGUAUGGGGACUGCCCGAUAGAGGGGGAUAACUACUGGAAACGGUGGCUAAUACCGCAUACUAACGGAUAACCCAUAUGGGAUUAGUUAGUAGGUGUGGUAAAGGCUAACCUAGGCGACGGUCUCUAGCUGUUCUGAGAGGAUGAUCAGCCACGCUGCGGCUGAGACCCGGCCCAUACUCCUACGGAGGCAGCAGUGGGUAAUAGUGCACAAUGUGCGCAAGCCUGUUGCAGCCAUGCCGCGUGUAUGAAGAAGGCCUUAGGUUUGUAAAGUACUUUCAGCGGGGGGGCGUUACCCGCAGAGGAAGCACCGGCUAACUCCGUGCCAGCAGCCGCGGUAAUAC
rnacentral:rRNA from 1 species